rnacentral:rRNA from 1 species
GUGGGGAAUAUUGGGCAAUGGGCGAAAGCCUGACCCAGCAACGCCGCGUGAAGGAAGAAGGUCUUCGGAUCGUAAACUUCUAUCCUUGGUGAAGAUAAUGACGGUAGCCGAGAAGGAAGCCCCGGCUAACUACGUGCCAGCAGCCGCGGUAAUACGUAGGGGGCAAGCGUUGUCCGGAAUGAUUGGGCGUAAAGGGCGCGUAGGCGGCCUGGUAAGUCUGGAGUGAAAGUCCUGCUUUUAAGGUGGGAAUUGCUUUGGAUACUGUCGGGCUUGAGUGCAGGAGAGGUGAGUGGAAUUCCCGGUGUAGCGGUGAAAUGCGUAGAGAUCGGGAGGAACACCAGUGACGAAGGCGACUUACUGGACUGUAACUGACGCUGAGGCGCGAAAGUGUGGGGAGCAAACAGGAUUAGAUACCCUUGUAGUCC